GUUUGCAGCUUCCCACCUGCAUACAGCACACCAGGAGACAGAAAUAAGGCAUUCUGUGCAGAGCUAAUCAUAAUCAAUUCAGUUCUUGAAUGGAUCAUCAGAUAUAAGCCAAGUGCUCCCUUUCCACUGCUUCAUAUACUGCUAUUUCCUUUCAGGAAGAUACCACCAAUCCCUACAUAAAAGUUGAGGAUUGAAUCGCUAAGAGGAUAAUGAACAGGUUCUUAAGGAAAAAAAGGAGGAAAACUGGCAUGUGUGGUCUACAAAUAGAAGAUCCAUAGCCAGCAGCUUUGCUUUAGCUUCCCCCUGCCUGUGGCUGCCUACAGGGAAACAGGCACACUUGAGUGAAGCUCACGGGAGGAGUGGUGCUAAAAUAUUGAUGGACAAGUUCACAGAUAAGUUCCUCCUUCAGAUCCCUCCAACUCUUCAUAAAUGAGGAAAAAGCCACUACCAUUGAACCACAGGACUUGAACUGAAGAUUUAGUUCUCCAGACAAAUCGCUAAACUUCUUUCCACCUCAGCUCCUGACCACUAUUUUGAGAUGGGGU
rnacentral:lncRNA from 1 species